UGGGGAAUUUUGGACAAUGGGCGAAAGCCUGAUCCAGCAAUGCCGCGUGUGUGAAGAAGGCCUUCGGGUUGUAAAGCACUUUUGUCCGGAAAGAAAUCCUUGGCUCUAAUACAGUCGGGGGAUGACGGUACCGGAAGAAUAAGCACCGGCUAACUACGUGCCAGCAGCCGCGGUAAUACGUAGGGUGCAAGCGUUAAUCGGAAUUACUGGGCGUAAAGCGUGCGCAGGCGGUUUGCUAAGACCGAUGUGAAAUCCCCGGGCUCAACCUGGGAACUGCAUUGGUGACUGGCAGGCUAGAGUAUGGCAGAGGGGGGUAGAAUUCCACGUGUAGCAGUGAAAUGCGUAGAGAUGUGGAGGAAUACCGAUGGCGAAGGCAGCCCCCUGGGCCAAUACUGACGCUCAUGCACGAAAAGCGUGGGGAGCAAACAGGAUUAGAUACCCUGGUAGUCCACGCCCUAAAACGAUGUCAACUAGUUGUUGGGGAUUCAUUUCCUUAGUAACGUAGCUAACGCGUGAAGUUGACCGCCUGGGGAGUACGGUCGCAAGAUUAAAACUCAAA
rnacentral:rRNA from 1 species